rnacentral:lncRNA from 1 species
AGCCUAUAUACAAAUAUUACACUUAAAUGGUCAGAAAAGCUUUAGUGUAGCUAUACAAUCUCUGUAAUGUUCAACUCAGAUUGUUCAAGGAUGGUUUCGUAUGACACUUUGACUACUAUGAGGGUUUUGUUCUGUCCAAAGUAACACACAAAGAAUUAAACAUUUUAUUGAAAACAAUGUAUGUGUACCAUAGAAGAACAAGAAAUAAACCUGGAAGUAUGAUAAAUUUUACCGUCCACCUCAGCUACAAUCAAUAACCUACAAAAGCCAAAACGGAAACAGACCAUUAGGGAAUAAUAAAUCUUUUCAGUAUUUCCAGUACCAUCGAAAACACGAGCAGGGGAAAAAUGAUUAUCUGGUUCAAUUAGUUAGUAAAUAGUAGAGCUACCUCUAGUUGCUCAUAAAGACUCCUUUUGAACGUCUAGUUGCAGUUGUAGUGCCUCCUUAAGUUGCGUAUCGCCGCAAAUGGUUUUCAAAUCUUUCUAAGAAACAUGAAAUUAACUGCGAUGGAAGAAAGUUUGUAUCUUUGCAACUGUUUAGGCUCAACACGUGGAAAAUAAAAGGCUAGUUUUGAGCUUAACACAAUCUCUAAUAUGCAUUCUACUAAAAUAUAGGUAGCGCAUUCUACUAAAAUAUAGGUAGCAUGAAGUAGCAAUUUUACAUUUCGAUGCCAAUCCAUGCUGCAUUAUUUAACUAAUCUUCUUCACAGAUCUUUUAGUUGCAUCAUCUAUGUGAAAAUAACAGUAAAAAAAAGAGCAAGUUAGCAACAAUAUGAGAAGGCAAGACAUGGGUUUGGCAAAUGUCAAAGGAACAAUUGUAGCAGAUAUCUCGCAUUACGAGUCAUGUCUUAUUCAGGGAAUAAAUAAAGGAUGACCCUGCAAUUAGACCACCCAAAAUACUCCAUGAAAAGGAUACCACAUACCUUCUUAAAUGCAGACUGACAAAGUGGCACUGAUAAGAAGUAUUAGAACUUUACUAGCAUCAUCGACCUUACCUUCAAAUUUCAACGAUAAAAUAAGUAACCAAGAAAUAAGCAGUUUAACUUAGGCUCUAAUAAAUAAAAUAUGGGCAUUGACAAUAAAUUGAAAAGACAUUGUACGUGUGUGGCCAAUUCUCUAUUGGCUAAAGCAAGAGAAUACUAGGUAACCUUCCAUAUCCAGCCCUCCGCCAUGCUUUUGCAGGGACAUUAGUCAAUGAGAGAUAUAUAAAAGGCAGAGCUAGGGAACUAACUCAAACACUUUGCACAAACACAAAAAAGAGAAGAAAAUGAUGCAAUAUAACCAAAGUAUACCCGAGAGGAUCCAGUUUUCAAUACUCUAAGUUGUUGUCAAUAACCAGAAAAGCACGAGCCAGAUGAAAUCUCCCAACCGAGGCAUUUUAAGAAGAAAAAAAAAUCUCCAUUAAAAUCAGAAUAGAAUAAAGAUAACUGAAAAGUAUACAUUAUCACCAAUUCCCCAAAAGCUGUUUAAGAAAUUAAAUUUUACAAUAAGGAUAACAAACAAAAAAGACCAGAAAAGAGAGGCUAAAACUAAGUCAUUCAGUUCCAGCUAUCACAUUUUCAAUUACCCAAGUAUUAAAAGAAUACUUCAUACAUUCAUACAUUACACAAGCAGCAUACUAAUUGAAUUUGCAAGGGUUAAGUUGCGAAGAGCCGAAAAGUUCAGUGAAACGUGACCUAAUUGAAGUUUACUUCAAACUCAUUAGUCACAAAACUAGGAUUACUGAAAAUUAACCAAAACAUAAAAUUGAAGAUGGAAGGAGAAAAGUGUUCACCUAGAAUCGGAUAUCAAAUCGCGAUUGAGAAAAUUGCGAAGUCGGAUGAAGUCGGAUGGAUACAAAUUUGACAAUCAAAUCGCGAUUAAACUCGAAUUUGAAAAGAAAUUAAGACGAUAAACUUAAAGCCUAAUUAGCAAUGUAAGCAUCAAUCUGAUGGCGGAGGCGGUCCGGUGGUGGUAACGAUGGCAGUGGCGUUGAUGGUGAUGGCGAUGGAGCCGGUGGCGGUGGCGGUGGCGUAGCAGGAUCGAAGAAAAGCCCUAGCAUUUCUAAACGACGGGAGAGAGAAACGUAUUAAGAAAAAAAAUGAGAGAGGCUUUUUU